ACUGGAGGUCCGAACCCACUAACGUUGAAAAGUUAGGGGAUGAGCUGUGGAUAGGGGUGAAAGGCUAAACAAAUCCGGAAAUAGCUGGUUCUCUCCGAAAACUAUUUAGGUAGUGCCUCAAGUAUCACCUACGGGGGUAAAGCACUGUAAUGGUUGAAGGGGUCAUCGCGACUUACUUCGCCAUAGCAAACUCUGAAUACCGUAGAGUGCGAGCUUGGGAGACAGACAUCGGGUGCUAACGUCCGGUGUCAAGAGGGAAACAACCCAGACCGCCGAUUAAGGUCCCAAAGACAUAGUUAAGUGGGAAACGAAGUGGGAAGGCACAGACAGCCAGGAGGUUGGCUUAGAAGCAGCCAUCCUUUAAAGAAAGCGUAAUAGCUCACUGGUCGAGUCGUCCUGCGCGGAAGAUGUAACGGGGCUCAAACUAUGCACCGAAAUCGCGGAUAUGCGUAAGCAUAUGGUAGGAGAGCGUUCUGUAGGCCUGCGAAGGUGUUCCGUAAGGAAUGCUGGAGGUAUCAGAAGUGCGAAUGCUGACAUGAGUAGCGAUAAAGCGGGUGAAAGGCCCGCUCGCCGAAAGCCCAAGGUUUCCUGCGCAACGUUCAUCGGCGCAGGGUGAGUCGGCCCCUAAGGCGAGGCUGAAAAGCGUAGUCGAUGGGAAACAGGUUAAUAUUCCUGUACCUCUUUGUAAUGCGAUGGGGGGACGGAGAAGGUUAGGUCAGCCGGGUGUUGGACGUCCCGGUUUAAGCGUGUAGUCGUGCCUGGUAGGCAAAUCCGCCGGGCUUAGAUGAGGCGUGACGACGAGUGGUCUUUGACCGCGAAGUGAUUGAUACCAUGCUUCCAAGAAAAGCCUCUAAGCUUCAGUUACAAAGAGACCGUACCGCAAACCGACACAGGUGGGCAGGAUGAGAAUUCUAAGGCGCUUGAGAGAACUCAGGAGAAGGAACUCGGCAAAUUAGCACCGUAACUUCGGGAGAAGGUGCGCCCUGGUAGGUUGUAGCCCCUCGCGGGCGAAGGCCGAUAGGGUUGCAGUGAAAUGGUGGCUGCGACUGUUUAAUAAAAACACAGCACUCUGCAAACACGAAAGUGGACGUAUAGGGUGUGACGCCUGCCCGGUGCUGGAAGAUUAAAUGAUGGGGUGCAAGCUCUUGAUUGAAGUCCCAGUAAACGGCGGCCGUAACUAUAACGGUCCUAAGGUAGCGAAAUUCCUUGUCGGGUAAGUUCCGACCUGCACGAAUGGCGUAACGAUGGCCACACUGUCUCCUCCUGAGACUCAGCGAAGUUGAAAUGUUUGUGAAGAUGCAAUCUCCCCGCGGCAAGACGGAAAGACCCCAUGAACCUUUACUGUAGCUUUGCAUUGGACUUUGAACCGAUCUGUGUAGGAUAGGUGGGAGGCUAUGAAACCGGGACGCUAGUUUCGGUGGAGCCAUCCUUGAAAUACCACCCUGGUUUGUUUGAGGUUCUAACCAUGGUCUGUGAAUCCAGAUCUGGGACCGUGCAUGGUAGGCAGUUUGACUGGGGCGGUCUCCUCCCAAAAGGUAACGGAGGAGUACGAAGGUACGCUAGGUACGGUCGGACAUCGUGCUAAUAGUGCAAUGGCAUAAGCGUGCUUGACUGCGAGACCCACAAGUCGAGCAGGUGCGAAAGCAGGUCAUAGUGAUCCGGUGGUUCUGUAUGGAAGGGCCAUCGCUCAACGGAUAAAAGGUACUCUGGGGAUAACAGGCUGAUACCGCCCAAGAGUUCAUAUCGACGGCGGUGUUUGGCACCUCGAUGUCGGCUCAUCUCAUCCUGGGGCUGUAGCCGGUCCCAAGGGUAUGGCUGUUCGCCAUUUAAAGAGGUACGUGAGCUGGGUUUAAAACGUCGUGAGACAGUUUGGUCCCUAUCUGCCGUGGGCGCUGGAAAUUUGAGGGGGCCUGCUCCUAGUACGAGAGGACCGGAGUGGACGAACCUCUGGUGUACCGGUUAUGACGCCAGUCGUAUCGCCGGGUAGCUAAGUUCGGAAGAGAUAAACGCUGAAAGCAUCUAAGCGUGAAACUCGCCU
rnacentral:rRNA from 1 species